rnacentral:lncRNA from 1 species
CCAAUGCAUUUCUCUUCUGUGCCUAGUAUCACAUAUAUCCUCUCACACCGCACAAGGUGGUUAAUGUGUCUGUAAUUGUGUACUUCUUAACGUAAGUGACUGUGAGUUCCUCAUCUUUCUCCAGAACUACAUAUAUGGCCAAUUGCAUUUCAAAUAGGUGCCCCUAAUUUUUGGCAAAUUUAUUUUUCCUUUAAAAGAACUGCAUUUGACACAGUAGCUUGGCUGGGGGCAGAAAGCUGGGAACCCGGCACAGGGCUACUUUGCUCCUGGACUUGUUCCUGACCCCCAACAACUCUGGGGAAAUGGGUGAGUUGAACUGGCAAAGGCGCAAGCUCUUCUCGCCAUGGGCUUCUGGAAUCUCAGCAGGAUACCCCUUAACCACCACAGACACUCAGCUGGCAGGGAGAGCUGCUUAGAGAAGUGGUAGGUGCAGUACAUUAGCUGAUGCAGAGCCCAGAGUGUUUGGUGUGGGAGUGUCUGUAGAGGAACACAGCCGGGCCCCAGCAUGGCCACACCUGCUUACAGUGCAGCCUCAGGUGCCCUGGGGGCCCACAUCAUAGGUCUUUCACAGGCAGACUAUGCCACCAUUCCUACUGAAACUAUUUCCAAAAAUUGAAAGGAAGGACCCCUCCCUAACUCAUUCUAUGAGGCCAGCGUCAUCCUGAUACCAAAACCUGGCAGAGACAAAACAGAAAAAAAAAAAAAAAAAAAAAAAACAGACACUUUGAAAUAUCUUUAUAUUAAAAUGAGUACAGAUAUAUUAAGAAGUAGAAAAUAAACUUCAUAUAAAUCUUUAAAAAUAAUUUGCAUUAAAUUAAAAUUAAAUGGACAUAGAGAAGUGGAAAAUUAUUGGAUAGCUCUUAUAUAUAUAUAUCACAUAUAUAUAUAUACACAUCAUCUGAUAUAUAUAUAUAAUCUGAUAUAUCUGAUAUAUAUAUAUAAUCUGAUAUAUCUGAUAUAUAUAUAUAAUCUGAUAUAUCUGAUAUAUAUAUAUCAGAUGAUAUAUCUGAUAUAUAUAUCAGAUGAUUAAUCAUGUAUACAAUAUGGUCAGCUUCAAAGUUUUCAAAACUAGCUACACCAGUGAGCAUAAGUACAAAUGAAACAAGGAUAGCAAAAACUAAAUAAAUAAAAAAAUAAAAGUUGAUGAUUGUUGAAGCUGAGUGAGUCAUACGUGAGAGUUCAUAAUAAGGAAGGUAAAUAAAGCCUAAAGCAGGUGAUGAACUGAGAAAAUGAAGAAGCACCAAAACAUUGAGGUCCUGAGGUGAGGCAUAUGGAAGGCACAUUCUGCAAGAAAGAGGGGAGGAGUGGUGAAGAUGAUUGUGGUCACAAAAGCCAUGUAAAAACCCAUGACGCUAGGGAAGGAAACUUUCUGAGGAACGGCGGGAUUCCAACUAGGAAACGACAGUGCUAUUUUGGAGUUGAAGAAGUAAAAAGGCUGUGAAGUCAACAAUACUGAAGUCAUAAAGAAUAAUGUCAAGGCCAAUGGGCUGAGGCCAUUGAAGAUACGGAGAAAUGGCUCUGGAGUUUAGAAAACAAUCUUUUUUUUUUUUAUACUUUAGGUUUUAGGGUACAUGUGCACAACAUGCAGGUUAGUUACAUAUGUAUACAUGUGCCAUGUUGGUGUGCUGCACCCAUUAACACGUCGUAUACAUUAGGUAUAUCUCCUAAUGCUAUCCCUCCCCCAUCCCCCACCCCACAACAGGCCUCAGUGUGUGAUGUUCCCCUUCCUGUGUCCAUGUGUUCUCAUUGUUCAAUUCCCACCUAUGAGUGAGAACAUGUGGUGUUUGGUUUUUUGUCCUUGCAAUAGUUUGCUGAGAAUGAUGGUUUCCAGCUUCAUCCAUGUCCCUACAAAGGACAUGAACUCAUCCUUUUUUAUGGCUGCAUAGUAUUCCAUUGGUAUAUACGUGCCACAUUUUCUUAAUCCAGUCUAUCAUUAUUGGACAUUUGGGUUGGUUCCAAGUCUUUGCUAUUGUGAAUAGUGCUGCAAUAAACAUACGUGUGCAUGUGUCUUUAUAGCAGCAACAUUUAUAAUCCUUUGGGUAUAUACCCAGUAAUUGGAUGGCUGGGUCAAAUGGUAUUUCUAGUUCUAGAUCCCUGAGGAAUCGCCACACUGACUUCCACAAUGGUUGAACUAGUUUACCGUCCCACCAACAGUGUAAAUGUGUUCCUUUUUCUCCACAUCCUCUCCAGCACCUGUUGUUUCCUGACUUUUUAAUGAUUGCCAUUCUAACUGGUAUGAGAUGGUAUGUCAU